GACGAACGCUGGCGGCGUGCCUAAUACAUGCAAGUUGAGCGCUGAAGGCUGGUACUUGUACCCACUGGUUGAGCAGCGAACGGGUGAGUAACGCGUGGGGAAUCUGCCUUUGAGCGGGGGACAACAUUUGGAAACGAAUGCUAAUACCGCAUAAAAACUUUAAACACAAGUUUCAAGUUUGAAAGAUGCAAUUGCAUCACUCAAAGAUGAUCCCGCGUUGUAUUAGCUAGCUGGUGAGGUAAAGGCACACCAAGGCGAUGAUACAUAGCCGACCUGAGAGGGUGAUCGGCCACACUGGGCUUGGAGCACGGCCCAAACCCCUGCGGGAGGGAGCAGGAGGGAAUCUUCGGCGAUGGACGAAAGUCUGACCGAGCAACGCCGCGUGAGUGAAGAAGGUUGUCGGAUCGUAAAACUCUGUUGGUAGAGAAGAACGUUGGUGAGAGUGAAAAGCUCAUCAAAUGACGGUAACUACACAGAAAGGGACGGCUAACUACGUG
rnacentral:rRNA from 1 species